rnacentral:rRNA from 1 species
UGGGGAAUAUUGCACAAUGGGCGCAAGCCUGAUGCAGCCAUGCCGCGUGUGUGAAGAAGGCCUUCGGGUUGUAAAGCACUUUCAGCGAGGAGGAAGGUGGUGAACUUAAUACGUUCAUCGAUUGACGUUACUCGCAGAAGAAGCACCGGCUAACUCCGUGCCAGCAGCCGCGGUAAUACGGAGGGUGCAAGCGUUAAUCGGAAUUACUGGGCGUAAAAGCGCACGCAGGCGGUUUGUUAAGUCAGAUGUGAAAUCCCCGGGCUCAACCUGGGAACUGCAUUUGAAACUGGCAAGCUAGAGUCUCGUAGAGGGGGGUAGAAUUCCAGGUGUAGCGGUGAAAUGCGUAGAGAUCUGGAGGAAUACCGGUGGCGAAGGCGGCCCCCUGGACGAAGACUGACGCUCAGGUGCGAAAGCGUGGGGAGCAAACAGAUUAGAUACCCUGGUAGUCCACGCUGUAAACGAUGUCGAUUUUGGAGGUUGUGCCCUUGAGGCGUGGCUUCCGGAGCU